CAGCAAUGAUGUAAUUUCUUAGGACACCUUUGGAUUGGCUAUAGUAUUGUCAAUAUGAAAAAACUUUCUACUGAGCUUA